GCUUGCUUUGGCAGUGCAUGUACUAAAAUUGGAACAAUACAGAGAAGAUUAGCAAGGCUUCUGAGCAAGAGUGAUUUGCAAAUUCGUGAAGCACUUCAUACUUUU
rnacentral:snRNA from 1 species